rnacentral:rRNA from 1 species
UACGAGGGGUGCAAGCGUUGCUCGGAAUUAUUGGGCGUAAAGGGUAGGUAGGUGGUCUCAUUUGUCUGGGGUGAAAGCCUCGAGCUUAACUCGAGAAGUGCCUCGGAAACGGUGAGACUAGAGUCUUGGAGAGGGUCGUGGAAUUCCUGGUGUAGCGGUGAAAUGCGCAGAUAUCAGGAGGAACACCGGUGGCGAAGGCGGGUCUCUGGGCAACAACUGACGCUGAGGAGCGAAAGCGUGGGGAGCGAACAGG